CCUACGGGUGGCAGCAGUAGGGAAUUUUCGUCAAUGGGGGGAACCCUGAACGAGCAAUGCCGCGUGAGUGAAGAAGGUCUUCGGAUCGUAAAGCUCUGUUGUAAGAGAAAAACGGGUAUCAUAGGGAAUGAUGAUAUCGUGAUGGUAUCUUACCAGAAAGCCACGGCUAACUACGUGCCAGCAGCCACGGUAAUACGGAGGGUGCGAGCGUUAAUCGGAAUUACUGGGCGUAAAGCGCUCGUAGGCGGUAUGUCAAGUCAAGGGUGAAAUCCCCGCGCUCAACGUGGGAACUGCCUUUGAAACUGGCAAACUGGAGUGUGUGAGAGGAUAGUGGAAUUCCAGGUGUAGGAGUGAAAUCCGUAGAUAUCUGGAGGAACAUCAGUGGCGAAGGCGACUAUCUGGCACAUAACUGACGCUGAGGAGCGAAAGCGUGGGUAGCAAACAGGAUUAGAUACCCUAGUAGUC
rnacentral:rRNA from 1 species